UCGAGAAUUUUUCACAAUGGGCGCAAGCCUGAUGGAGCGACGCCGCGUGGGGGAUGAAUGGCUUCGGCCCGUAAACCCCUGUCAUUCGGGAUCAAUGCGUUUGGUUGAACAUUCCAAAUGUUGAUAGUACUGAAAGAGGAAGGGACGGCUAACUCUGUGCCAGCAGCCGCGGUAAUACAGAGGUCCCAAGCGUUGUUCGGAUUUACUGGGCGUAAAGGGUGCGUAGGCGGUCGGGUAAGUCUGGUGUGAAAUUUCGGAGCUUAACUCCGAAACUGCAUUGGAUACUAUUCGGCUAGAGGUUGGGAUGGGAGACUGGAAUUCUCGGUGUAGCAGUGAAAUGCGUAGAUAUCGAGAGGAACACCAGUGGCGAAGGCGAGUCUCUGGACCAAUCCUGACGCUGAGGCACGAAAGCCAGGGGAGCAAACGGG
rnacentral:rRNA from 1 species